GAUGAACGCUAGCGGGAGGCCUAACACAUGCAAGCCGAGCGGUAUUGUUUCUUCGGAAAUGAGAGAGCGGCGUACGGGUGCGUAACACGUGUGCAACCUGCCUUUAUCUGGGGGAUAGCCUUUCGAAAGGAAGAUUAAUACUCCAUAAUAUAUUGAACGGCAUCGUUUAAUAUUGAAAGCUCCGGCGGAUAGAGAUGGGCACGCGCAAGAUUAGCUAGUUGGUGAGGUAACGGCUCACCAAGGCGAUGAUCUUUAGGGGGCCUGAGAGGGUGAUCCCCCACACUGGUACUGCGACACGGACCAGAAUCCUACGGGAGGCAGCAGUGAGGAAUAUUGGUCAAUGGGUGCAAGCCUGAACCAGCCAUCCCGCGUGAAGGACGACUGCCCUAUGGGUUGUAAACUUCUUUUGUAUAGGGAUAAACCCACCCUCGUGAGGGUAGCUGAAGGUACUAUACGAAUAAGCACCGGCUAACUCCGUGCCAGCCGCCGCCGUAA
rnacentral:rRNA from 1 species